UUCCUUUUCUUUGCUAUACAGUCAGAUUUCUAAGAACCCUUAAUCUACUAGAAUAUUGAAUUCCUUUGAAUUUUUUUUUUUUUUGUAUUGAACUAAAAGGCUUAUGGUUAUUUUUGGAAAUAGACAUGCAAUCUAAUGAAAACAUUGUUUUCAUCAUGUUACUGUAAAAUAACUUUGCAAUAUAGUUAACAAAUAUAAUCAAUACAUUUUUGCCUACUUUUGUAGUUAUAGAAACAUCCAGGAAAAAAGCUGUUAAUGUUUAAAAUGUGUUUAAUUUGCCUGAUUUAAACUAGUGAGCACCAAUUUAACAUGCAGGUUGCCAGAAGGUGGAGCUCUAGGUUCAGUCAUUUCAAAACAGAGCACACAGACAUAAAUUGAGCUAGUUGAGGAAAGUCACAAAAGUCUUUUUGUUUCUUGCUGGUGUAGAUGUUUCUCCUGGUCCUCUUGAUACUUUCUCCUCUUAAGGAGAAUGCUGAUGCUGAAGUGAUAACCUCAUUCUUCACAGAGCAGCAUGUUUUGGCAGGGAAAGAUAUUACUCUUUCCUGCAAUUACAGUGGCUUUGUUCAAAAUUUGCAGUGGUAUCGUCAGUAUCCCGGAUCCAAACCUGAGAAUAUAAUUUUUUAUACUGAGACCAGGAGUCAGUCAAAGCUUCGUCUGUAUGCUGUGGCAGAUAAAGGAAUCAAACUUAUGAAUUUGAGCAUAUCUUCUACUCAAAUGGAUGAUUCUGCCAUGUACUACUGUGCCCUGCAGCCCACAGUGACAGGAAAUAGAACUGCACUGUACAAAAACUUUCUUAUGGGCUAUUCUUACUAGAAGGCACUUUCACACCAGUUUUUCCUAAUUUUCUUUCCUGACUGAUAUGAUGUGAUGCACUUUUUUUUAACAAAAAGAACAAUUUGUCACAUAUUACUGACAUAAACAAAUAUAAUUCUAAACUCUUGGUGUCACUAUCAAUCACGGAAAGUCUCAUGGGAUAUCAUCUCUUCUGCUGCAUUAGUUGAUUAUCUUUUGCCAGCUUUACAAUGUUAUUAACAGAAAUUUGCAGAAUUCAAAUUUAACUGACAAUGAGCCUCAUUAAUACAACGAUGAGUGUGUCCUUUGAAUGCAGCAAAGUCUAAUGCUGUGGUCAUGUUCUUAUACU
ensembl:lncRNA